rnacentral:rRNA from 1 species
UACGUAGGCAGCAAGCGUUGUUCGGAGUUACUGGGCGGAAAGAGUAUGUAGGCGGUUGCGUAAGUUCGGUGUGAAAUCUCCCGGCUUAACUGGGAGGGUGCGCCGAAAACUGCGUGGCUUGAGUGCGGGAGAGGAGAGCGGAAUUCCUGGUGUAGCGGUGAAAUGCGUAGAUAUCAGGAGGAACACCGGCGGUGUAGACGGCUCUCUGGACCGUAACUGACGCUGAGAUACGAAAGCGUGGGUAGCAAACAGG